rnacentral:pre_miRNA from 1 species
GAGGGCAGCACCAGAUCCUGGGCUGUGUCCCCCAGCGUCCUGGGGUCUGGGGCCUGCGCCGCUGGAAUCGCACUCCCGGGGCCGCUCAGCCCCUU